AGAUAUUCCUGGAAGGAGAAUUCCUCACGUCACCUGCAACUUCAACUGUUACACGGCUUCACCACGUUAAACUCCCAGCAAAACCCCAAGUCGUCACCUGCCCCAGCGUUUACUCACCUUGUUCCCUAGCCCCGGCGGCCACCCUGUCCUUGAUCAUUUCCAAGUUGUGUUGCAGCGAGCUUCUACGUAGUUCUUCCCCACCCGCUCGCUCCCAGCCUGUCUGGUCCUGCGUACUUCGACGCCGUUCUCCAGACGUGACAGCUCCAUCGCUGGUCGUCCAAUCCAUGUUGAUCCUGACUGAUCUCGCACGAGCACUGAAGGCGUGAGUGCCAAGAAGGAGAUUCUGAAGAGGAGUCUACUCCUGUGCCUGCUCAUCAAGAGGAUGGAGCUAUCUAACUGAUGGUUGGGUAGAGGGAUCGAGUACCUCUUCACUGCAACAAAGGCAAGCCCUGUUUAUAGGGAUUGCUUGGAAACUACUUGAUGCAUUGACUACCUUGAUAUCCAUUCCUUUAUAGAUACUUCUAUUUAAGUAUCAAAAUAUGAUUUACAAAAAUGCUUAGCCCUGCUUAGAUCUUGUGGAUAGAAGUUGUCUUUUGCAAUAAUGCCUAGCUCAGGGGUUAUCCUGAGGAAGGAUGGCUUCUACCUGCAAGAAUAUUUUCAUAUGAAGCAUAGUGGGAUUUUACUGCAAAGUUCCCCAUAAUUCUCUAUUCAUCCUAAGGAACACAAAACAAUCCUAAGGAUGGAAGUACUUAAAUCGAGACUUGGGCUAGGAACAGGUGAUGCUCCACCUAGGUUAAUUAAGGAUUGGAUGCGUAUUGUAAGGCCCAAAACUUAUAUAAAAAAACGAUAAUAAAAAUAAUGAAUAAAUAUAUCUAUAUGAUAAUGCUUUGGGAUUAUGAAACCUAAGGCGAUUAAUUGAUCCCUUUUAGUUUAACGAGUUCAAGUAAUAGGAUUAUAUUAGUCGAAUAACAAAAUAAAUAAAUAAAUAAAAAUGGGCACCACAUAAUGAAAUUAUUGUAUUUGUAUUCAAAUUUGUGAAACAAGUUUGAGUUUAAAAAAAUUAGAAUUUGAAAAUAAAAAGGGAACAGAAAAGAAAAGGAUGGGAAUUUAAAGGAAAUCAUUUAUUUCCCCCUAAAAUAAAUGACAAGGAAAACAAUAAAUAAAAUAUUGGAAAUAAUAAAUGUUAUAUUUUCUUAAAGGGUGUGUUUGAUAUUUGAAAACUUGGGAGUUCAUAACAUGAGUUGAAUUGAAUUUAAAGGGAGGGAUUAUAAAUGGGAGAAGAAUAUAGAAAGGAAAAAGAGAAAAUAGAGAAAUCUCGGCUGGGCCGUUUUCCUCUUCGGCCGGCCCAACUCAGCUUCUCUCCCCGCUCAGCCCAUGGCGCUCACUUAUAGAUGUACAUGAGGCACGGGCCCGUUAACCUGGCCCGAGGCCCGUUUUUUUGGCCCGGUUCGCGCCCGGCCCGGCACGUAUGGGAUGGGCCCGGGCUGGCACGGCCCAGUGGAGCAGGCCGUGCCUGGGCCGCUGGCCAGGCACGUGGGCCGGCACGGCACGACCUGCUCCACGCGGACAGCCCGGUCGGGGCCCGUAGCCGACGACGCCCGUGCCCCUUACCUCCUCGCCUCCUCGCCCCAUGGGACCCACCUCUCAGUCCCUCCGCUCGCACUCGCAUUCGCACUCGCACCCUGCUCCCUCUCUCUCUCUCCCGACUCGGCGGCGAUUGACUUGGCGAUUGGCGAUUCCCCUCCGACGCCUCCGUCGCGGCGCCGCCCCUGUCCAGCGACCUCGGCUCCCGUCCCCGACGCCGGUGACCUCGAUCCACCAGCUCCUCUCUAACCCCUCUCCCCUAUCCAAUCCCCUCUCUCUCUCGGUGAACUAUGUGAGUUCGUGUUGUCGUCUCGUCCUCCCCUCCGGCCCUCCCCAGCUCGCCGUCGUCUCUAAUCGGUCUCUGUCUGUCGUGUGUCGUCUGGGUGGCCCCCGUGUUCUCCGGCAUCGGGCUCCGGUAGCACAGGUCAGUUGCUGAUGCCUCGUCUUCCUCCUCUGGGGUAGAUCGGGCACGGCGACUGCGUGCUCCGUUGAGGGACGGUGCUGGAGAUCGGCCGUCCGUGGUGAAGGUCGCCAUGGCAGAUGAUGACGAUGUCAAUCCGGUCACCGGCAACGACGACCUUCGUGCGGCAGGGCUUGUCCCAGAUGACGAAGACGACAUCCAGGCUGACGCUGCUGCUUUGCUCGGUAUCGAUCUAACCUCUGCUCCUGUCGAUCUAAGUUCUAAUCCGACCAACGCUGGUGGAGGGCCUGCUACGUCCACCGAUACUCCGGUCGGCUCCACCAGCAUCGAUGGUGGUACUGGUACCUCAUCUGUUGGUAAGCGUAAAUAUACUGUCUGGGUUGUGAGAGAGUCAUUUUGUAUUGUAAUAUACAUUUGUAACAGAUACAAACUUAGUGAUUAAACUUUGAGCUGGCUGCACUCUUUUUUCCUUUCUAGGGUUUCUCACAAGGGUGAGUUUUACCUAGAAAGGUUUUUAAUGAGGCAGCAUUGCACAAAACAGCUCAUUUAUUA